GGGGAUGUAGCUCAGUUGGUAGAGUGCUUGCCUACUAUGCACAGGGCCCUGGGUUCAAUUCCUAGCACCA
rnacentral:tRNA from 1 species